GUGCUGUUAGUUUCUAGAACAGUAUCGGUAUACUAAACGUAUGUGUAUUCUGAUUCAAACUAACUAGUUCUGGAUUUGACAGCAUAGAUGACGGCCUUUCUUCUUGCUUCUUUCGUCUUUUUUCGAGAGGUACAUGUUUAACUUAUCUAUGUUUAACAUGUCUAUUAUCAGUUUAAAGAAACAUUUGCAAGUGAUAUGGGUUCGUCGUCAAUCCGUUGGCCAGAUUCGAGAUACAUACCAUUUCAUUUAAAUACAAAUUGAAAAGUGGUCAUCAGUCCCAGCCACUCUCGCAUCAUCCGCCUCUCAAAACACACAGUUAUCGGCUGUGUAAAGUUGGAAAGAUAGCUCAAACCUUUGCAAAUGAAAUCAUUUCGGAGAUUCUAAGCAGGAGGAAUUAGAAUUGCCCGGAAAAACUGUUGUGGGUAUUCUCAGUUCAUGGUACAAGCUGUUGACUCAAAUACUAAAUACGAUACUCCAAAAUGUAUUUUAGAAAUACCUGAAGAAGCUGCGAAAAAUAGUGAAACUAAAAUUAUGCGAGAACAACAAUUCGGCACCCGACAAAAGCACGGCACUAUGGAACAAGAUGGGCAAAGCUCCUGCGAGUAAGAGCUGCUGCUUAGCUGCAUUCUUGGAUGUAUGAAAGGCUCUUGACAAGUUUUUAAAAAAGUGUACUAAAUCUAA